rnacentral:rRNA from 1 species
UACGAAGGGGGCUAGCGUUGUUCGGAAUUACUGGGCGUAAAGGGCGCGUAGGCGGUUUUUCAAGUCAGGCGUGAAAGCCCCGGGCUUAACCUGGGAACUGCGCUUGAGACUGUGAGACUAGAGUACCGGAGAGGUGGGUGGAAUUCCCAGUGUAGAGGUGAAAUUCGUAGAUAUUGGGAAGAACACCGGUGGCGAAGGCGGCCCACUGGACGGUAACUGACGCUGAGGCGCGAAAGCGUGGGGAGCAAACAGG